AGCCUGCUUGAGGUUCUCUGUCUUGAGGGUCUGUCUCUCUCUCUCUGCCUCUUCACCCUGCUUGCGCGCACACACUCUCAAAAUAAACUGAAAAUAAUUCUGCUCACGAGCCUUUGGCGUGUUUAAGUUUUUACUCAAUUUCAGGAACUGAGAUAGUGAGUGUGUACAGCGUGUCACGUUCAGAUGGAAGUGUGUCCCCUGCCGGGUCGCUGUGUGGUUUCACAGCCAGUGAAUGUGCCGCUCCGAGGGUGGCGCUGCUGACUACGUGGCAGACAUAAAUCGCAUCGUGCCUUUCUCCUCUGGAGGUGAGCAUCACAUCGCUGUGCAAACUUCCGCUUUGUUGUUGUGACGACAGUCACACAGCACAGAAGUCCAUAAAGUAAGUCACCCAUCACACAGGGUAACCACUGCUAACAGGCACGGAGCUUUCUAGAUAUUUCUGUGCACACACGUGCACACAUGAGUACGGAGCUCAGUUUUCUUUUUUAUAAAAAUGGAAUUCUGCAUCCACGCUUCUCCAAAGUGCACUGACUGGUUGUCUUCUACUCCCGUCCUACGAGUGCACCCUCUUCUCGUGUUUGACGAGCAUUCUUUUACUUGUGGCAAAAUAUAUGUAACGUACAGGUUACCAUCUCGUCGGUUUUUAACUCUCCAAGUGUGUGCGCGGUGUUUUCCCUGCUGCCCAUCUCCAUGCUGCUUCAUCCUCCGAACAGAGACUCUGUCCCCAUUAAACACUAACCCCUGUUCCAAACCGUGACCUCUCAGCCUUGGUGCUGCCUCGGCCACCUUCUUUCUGUGUCCAGGAAUCUAGUGUGUUUCCAAGUUCUGUCCAGGUCAUAGCACACAAUGGAGUUUGAUUUCUUCUCAUGGCUGAGUAAUGUUCCUGUGAGCAUCCCGCCCGAUGGCCCUGAAAUACAUAAUUAUGCAGACUCUGUUGGGCCAGCUGCGUCCCCUGGAUCACACCGUGCAGGGCACUGGGUAAUGGAGGGACCCCAGUCACAGGAGGCCACCCACACCCCACCAGACGUCUGCUGCUCAAUUCUUGGGCCAGCAUAGCAUGGUGCUCCAAACCGUCCCUUACCAGGUCCAUGAGCAAAAGCCCUGCAGCACAGGACGGAGACCCAUGUCCUGCCUGAGAGCUUCAGGGGUGAAGCGAGCAGUCACUACCCCAGGGCAGGGGCCCAGCCUCAGAACAUCAUCGGACCCUCUGAGGUGAGGCCGGGACGUGAGCAUCUACGGGUGAGCGCCGGGCACCAUGGGGACCCAGCUAGCUGUCGACGCUGGUGCAUGUGGCACAGCAGCUGCCGGUUAACUGAUGGGCCCGGGUGAGGGGAAAGCGCCUGCCGGCUGCCACGCCAUCCCCAGCCCUCACCCUGCCAGCGUUGCUCUACAGAGACAGCCCCACCUGUCAGGGGAUGGUGAGUGCUGCCCACAAACCAGGGCAGAGCUCUGCCCACGCAGGGACUCAUCCAGGAGCUGAGCCUCAGAGCGCACAUCCCUGGGAGCCCUCUCUCCCUGCGGCUCAGUGGUGACCCGGGAGCACUCGUGACAGUUGCCUCCUCCACUGUGUCCUGCAGGUAGGUGUGGGCAGGUAGUCCAGAGGCUGGAACACAGCUGAGAUCAUUUCUGGACGUGCAGAUCCAGUCACAGUCUUGGGCUGGGAUAGGGCCAGGAGUGUGUACCCCCCGCUCCAGGAAACAAGCUGAAUGUUUGACGAAGAGUUGAAAUGACUUUCUGUAAAGCUUGGCUGUCUGAACACCUUA